rnacentral:rRNA from 1 species
GUAUUAAUAAAGGGUGAAAUCAAUUUUUUGAUAUACAAAUGGAUAAAUUAUUUUAAAUUGAAUUGAGGUUAUUAAGGUAAAGGUAUGGACCAGGAUUAGAUACCCUGUUACACUUUAUUUAAAAUUAAGAUACCUGGGUAAUAAACAGUUAUUGUCUUGAAACUCAAAGGAUUUGGCGGUAGUCUAGUCUAUUUAGAGGAACCUGUCCUAUAAUCGAUAGUCCACGAAAAAUCUUACUUUAUUUUGUAGAAUUCAGUUUGUAUACCGUCAUUAUUAGAUAACUUUAAUAAAAUAUUUAGUUAUUACAGUAAUUUUUGUUUAAUAUAUUAGAUCAAGGUGCAGCUUAUAGUAAAGGAGAGAUGGGUUACAAUAAAAUAUAUUUAAAAAUGGAUUAAAAGAAGAAUUUUUUUUAUGAAGGUGGAUUUAAUAGUAAGAAAAUUUUAAUAGGGUUUUUUGACUGUAGCUCUAGGUUAUGUACACAUCGCCCGUCGCUCUCGUUAAUUAAAGC